GACCCCGUGGCCUAGCGGAUAAAGCUGCUGUUUUCCAAAAUCGAAUCGCGAGUUCGAACCCCACCGGUGUCA